CUGGCUGAUGCAGACACAGAUGCCUGACACUGGGGAAAGGUAGGGCUUGCUGUUCAGAGACAGGAUUCUCUUGACAAAGUGAGAGCGUCCAGAAGCAGACCUCAGCCACUUACCUUGGCCUUUCCCGGCUGGACGCAGACCAGGCUCUCAGCCUCAGAUGCUACCCAAGACACCUGCGGGCCAAGGACACGCAUUGGAGGCCUCGGGUUUCACAGUCCUGGGCAGAGGCCGCCCCCAAGGUGCUGACCCAGCCUGCCACCCUCGACCAAAAUAAACCCAGGGCAAGGUGCUUAGAUCAGCCACUCCCCAAACCCCAUGGCCUGAUCCGGGUUGCAGAUCCGGCCACUGUGGGCCCCGCGGAAAGGGCCAUCCGUGGCCCCAAAAGGCCCGAGACGUAGACCAAUUGACCUCAAAGAACAAAAAGUUCAUUCUGGAGAGAUCCAGGCAAGAGGAAGUGAUUAUAGCAGCUGACAGCGAAAGAACGCUUUCCAGUCAUGGGGUCCUCAGGUCUCUCCAAGGCGAUCGGAGGAAUCCAGGACCUGUGUGGUCCCCUUCACAGGUUGUGAUGAAAGGACGAUGAAAGAUGAAGUCAGCCUGUGUGGCGAGUGCCCUGUGCUGUGCCCGAUGUUCUAAAACAUCUGAUGUCAUCCAGGACACUCCCAGCUCACCUAGGCUCCUGCUUACUCAGACACUGGAAAGUUUUCUGAGGGACACAGCUGAGCCCAGCCAUCCCCGCCCACUGCAAUAAUCCACCAAGAAUGCUGAUGACCAGAAGAUGGAGUGAGUGGACAGCUCAGGUCCGGGCUCCGGGGGAAGGGUCACACAAUGGCCUGAGGUCAAGGCUGCUCGGACACAGCUUCAUGGAGCGAAGGCAUCACUGCACCGAUGGAACUGCUUGGAAAAUCCUUCCUGGUAACUGUAUCGGAUCAUUUUGCCAAACAGCUGCCCAUCCAGCACACAGGGGCCGCGGCUCUGUUUCUCUUGGCCCACUUCGGGGCAGGAGAGGCAUGUACAGGGGACUGGAGGACAUGACACCCUCCCCCCUGGCCUCUAGCACCUGUGGCCUGCCCCUGGAGCAGAGCCUGGGAGAGGAUUUGCGGGAUUCUGCCAGCACCAGCAAGGCUCCUGGAAGCCCUGUGGAUAGGCCUCCCGCCCUGGGUUGA
rnacentral:lncRNA from 1 species